UACGUAGGUGGCAAGCGUUGUCCGGAUUUACUGGGCGUAAAGAGCGCGCAGGCGGUCGAGUAAGUCGAAUGUGAAAGCCCCCGGCUUAACUGGGGAGGGUCAUUCGAUACUGUUCGACUUGAAGGCAGGAGAGGGCAGCAGAAUUCCCGGUGUAGUGGUGAAAUGCGUAGAUAUCGGGAGGAACACCGGUGGCGAAGGCGGCGACCUGGGUCGAGACUGACGCUGAGGCGCGAAAGCGUGGGGAGCAAACAGG
rnacentral:rRNA from 1 species